CUGGCGGCGUGCCUAACACAUGCAAGUCGAGCGAUCUCUCGGAGAAGAGCGGCGGACGGGUGAGUAACGCGUGGGUAACCUGCCCUGUACACACGGAUAACAUACCGAAAGGUAUGCUAAUACGAGAUAAUAUGCUUUUAUCGCAUGGUAGAAGUAUCAAAGCUUUUGCGGUACAGGGAUGGACCCGCGUCUGAUUAGCUAGUUGGUAAGGUAACGGCUUACCAAGGCGACGAUCAGUAGCCGACCUGAGAGGGUGAUCGGCCACAUCGGAACUGAGACACGGUCCAAACUCCUACGGGAGGCAGCAGUGGGGAAUAUUGCACAAUGGGCGAAAGCCUGAUGCCAGCAACGCCGCGUGAGCGAUGAAGGCCUUCGGGUCGUAAAGCUCUGUCCUCAAGGAAGAUAAUGACGGUACUUGAGGAGGAAGCCCCGGCUAACUACGUGCCAGCCGCCGC
rnacentral:rRNA from 1 species